rnacentral:rRNA from 1 species
AAGAAAGUAAUUAAGAGCGUAUGGUGGAUGCCUUGGCUCUCAGAGGCGAUGAAGGACGUGGCUAAGCUGCGAUAAGCUACGGGAAGGUGCAAGCAACCGUCGAUCCGUAGAUUUCCGAAUGGGGCAACCCGGUACCAUGGAGUGGUACCACCGAAAGGUGCUAACCCGGAGAACUGAAACAUCUAAGUACCCGGAGGAAGAGAAAACAAACGUGAUUCCCUGAGUAGCGGCGAGCGAAAGGGGAAGAGCCCAAACCCUGUCCAGUUACGGCUGGCGGGGGGUUGUAGGACUGCAACAUAGACUUUGUAUUGAUAGUGGAAUACUUCUGGAAAGUUGAACCAUAGCGGGUGAUAGUCCCGUACACGAAAUCAAUGCAAUACUUAGCAGUAUCCUGAGUAGGGCGGGACAUGUGAAAUCCUGUCUGAAGCAGCCGGAACCAUCCGGUAAGGCUAAAUACUCCUGAGAGACCGAUAGCGAACCAGUACUGUGAAGGAAAGGUGAAAAGCACCCUGAACAAGGGAGUGAAAUAGAACCUGAAACCGUGCGCUUACAAGCGGUAGGAGUCCCGUAAGGGAUGACUGCGUGCCUUUUGCAUAAUGAGCCUACGAGUUGCUCUUUACUAGCAAGGUUAAGUCCGUAGACGGAUGGAGCCGAAGCGAAAGCGAGUCUGAAUAGGGCGAAUAGUUAGUAGAGGCAGACGCGAAACUUUGUGAUCUACCCAUGACCAGGUUGAAGCCCCGAUAACACGGGGUGGAGGACCGAACCAGUAAACGUUGAAAAGUUUUUGGAUGAGUUGUGGGUAGGGGUGAAAGGCCAAUCAAACUGAGAAAUAGCUCGUACUCCCCGAAAUGUAUUUAGGUACAGCCUCGAGGUUGAGUGUCAUAGAGGUAGAGCUACUGAUAGGGCUAGGGGGCUUCACCGCCUACCAACCCCUGACAAACUCCGAAUGCUAUGACAUAUACUCGGGAGUGAGGCAUAGGGUGCUAAGGUCCUGUGCCGAGAGGGAAAGAACCCAGACCAUCAGCUAAGGUCCCCAAAUGUAUGCUAAGUUGAUCUAACGUGGUCGGAUUGCAUUGACAGCUAGGAUGUUGGCUUGGAAGCAGCCAUUCAUUUAAAGAGUGCGUAACAGCUCACUAGUCGAGCGAUCUGGCGUGGAUAAUACUCGGGCAUUAAGCAUGCUACCGAAGCUAUGGGAUUGAAAAAUCGGUAGGGGAGCAUUCCAGUCUGCGUCGAAGGUGGAUCGUAAGGUCUGCUGGAGCGUCUGGAAAAGAAAAUGUAGGCAUAAGUAACGAUAAGGCGGGCGAGAAACCCGCCCACCGUAAGACUAAGGUUUCCUGAUCAACGUUAAUCGGAUCAGGGUUAGUCGGGUCCUAAGGCAAAGCCGAACGGCGUAGUCGAUGGACAUCAGGUUAAUAUUCCUGAACUAGCCAGUGUUGCGAUGGGGUGACGGAGUCGUGAAAGACCUGCGCACUGACGGAAUAGUGCGUUGAAACCCGUAGGUAUAGGAUGUGUAGGCAAAUCCGCACGUCUUGCUGAAAGGUGAUAGUACCGCGAGUCUUCGGACAAGCGGAUAAUGGUCCUAAUCAUACUUCCAAGAAAAACCUCUAAGCUUCAGACACUGGCUACCCGUACCGCAAACCGACACAGGUAGUCGAGGAGAGAAUCCUAAGGUGCUCGAGUGAUCCGUGGCUAAGGAACUAGGCAAAUUAGCCCUGUAACUUCGGGAGAAAGGGCCCCCGCUUAACGGCGGGGCGCAGUGACCAGGCCCAGGCGACUGUUUAGCAAAAACACAGGACUCUGCUAAGUCGAAAGACGAUGUAUAGGGUCUGACACCUGCCCGGUGCCGGAAGGUUAAGGAAGGGCGUCAUCUUCGGAGAAGCGCUUGACUGAAGCCCCGGUAAACGGCGGCCGUAACUAUAACGGUCCUAAGGUAGCGAAAUUCCUUGUCGGGUAAGUUCCGACCUGCACGAAUGGUGUAACGAUCUGGGCACUGUCUCGGCCACGAGCUCGGUGAAAUUGAAGUAUCGGUGAAGAUGCCGAUUACCCGCAACGGGACGGAAAGACCCCGUGAACCUUUACUAUAGCUUAACAUUGACUUUGGACAAGUGAUGUGUAGGAUAGGUGGGAGACUUUGAAGCUAUGCCGCUAGGCAUGGUGGAGUCGUCCUUGAAAUACCACCCUUCGCUUGUUUGGAGCCUAAUCCCGCAAAACGGGAGACAGUGUUUGGUGGGUAGUUUGACUGGGGUGGUCGCCUCCAAAAGAGUAACGGAGGCUUUCAAAGGUACCCUCAGCACGCUUGGUAACCGUGCGUAGAGUGCAAUGGCAAAAGGGUGCUUAACUGUGAGACCGACAAGUCGAGCAGAUACGAAAGUAGGACAUAGUGAUCCGGUGGUUCCGCAUGGAAGGGCCAUCGCUCAAAGGAUAAAAGGUACUCCGGGGAUAACAGGCUGAUCUCCCCCAAGAGCUCACAUCGACGGGGGGGUUUGGCACCUCGAUGUCGGCUCGUCACAUCCUGGGGCUGGAGAAGGUCCCAAGGGUUGGGCUGUUCGCCCAUUAAAGUGGCACGCGAGCUGGGUUCAGAACGUCGUGAGACAGUUCGGUCCCUAUCUGUUGUGGGCGUUAGAAACUUGAGAGGGCCUGCCUCUAGUACGAGAGGACCGAGGCGGACAUACCUCUGGUAUACCUGUUGUGGCGCCAGCUGCACCGCAGGGUAGCCAUGUGUGGAAGAGAUAAGCGCUGAAAGCAUCUAAGCGCGAAGCUCGCCUCAAGAUGAGGUUUCUUUUAAGGGCCGUCAUAGACGAUGACGUUGAUAGGCUGCAGGUGUAAAGGCAGUAAUGUCAAAGCUGAGCAGUACUAAUGACCCGUAGCUUUCUGAUU